GACGAACGCUGGCGGCGUGCCUAAUACAUGCAAGUAGAACGCUGAAGGAGGAGCUUGCUUCUCUGGAUGAGUUGCGAACGGGUGAGUAACGCGUAGGUAACCUGCCUGGUAGCGGGGGAUAACUAUUGGAAACGAUAGCUAAUACCGCAUAAGAGUAGAUGUUGCAUGACAUUUGCUUAAAAGGUGCAAUUGCAUCACUACCAGAUGGACCUGCGUUGUAUUAGCUAGUUGGUGGGGUAACGGCUCACCAAGGCGACGAUACAUAGCCGACCUGAGAGGGUGAUCGGCCACACUGGAACUGAGACACGGCCCAGACUCCUACGGGAGGCAGCAGUAGGGAAUCUUCGGCAAUGGACGGAAGUCUGACCGAGCAACGCCGCGUGAGUGAAGAAGGUUGUCGGAUCGUAAAGCUCUGUUGUAAGAGAAGAACGAGUGUGAGAGUGGAAAGUUCACACUGUGACGGUAUCUUACCAGAAAGGGACGGCUAACUACGUG
rnacentral:rRNA from 1 species